AAAAACGCGAUCGUCUGGAAAAGACAGAAAAGUUGUGUGUGAAAAAAUUUAUUUCGAAUUAUAUCGAGAAGUGUUUGUUCGUACCUCGUGCAACGAUAACAUCUUACGGAAUCCUAGAAGAAAAACCCAACUGCAAUCAACAUGACGGAAGCAAUGAAUCUCAUGACGACCUUCUUAAUUCUCACAAUUCUCCUCCUAACUUUAUACAUUUUAUACGAAGGAUUAUUUUAGAAAAAAAUUAAAAUUAUGUCUUAAAUCCCGAAUUCCAAUCAAAUUCUUCAGUUUUGCCAAAUCGUGUCCUAAUUAAAGUGAAAGACAUUUUUCAACACGAGUCACCGCAAUGCAAAUAGUAGAAUUUGACUUGGAUCAUCAACAACGCAUGCUUCCAUCAUAAAUAACUUUAUUAUAUUAUGUCAUGUUUUUAUUUUUUUUUCUCUCUAUUUCCAACAUUGAAUUUCUAGAAAAUACAUAUUUUUUACUGUUAAAUGUCUUUCAGAAAAAAAAAUGAUAAUAAAAAUGACUA